rnacentral:rRNA from 1 species
GAUGAACGCUGGCGGCGUGCCUAAUACAUGCAAGUCGAGCGAACGGACGAGAAGCUUGCUUCUCUGAUGUUAGCGGCGGACGGGUGAGUAACACGUGGAUAACCUACCUAUAAGACUGGGAUAACUUCGGGAAACCGGAGCUAAUACCGGAUGAUAUUUUGAACCGCAUGGUUCAAAAGUGAAAGACGGUCUUGCUGUCACUUAUAGAUGGAUCCGCGCUGCAUUAGCUAGUUGGUAAGGUAACGGCUUACCAAGGCAACGAUGCAUAGCCGACCUGAGAGGGUGAUCGGCCACACUGGAACUGAGACACGGUCCAGACUCCUACGGGAGGCAGCAGUAGGGAAUCUUCCGCAAUGGGCGAAAGCCUGACGGAGCAACGCCGCGUGAGUGAUGAAGGUCUUCGGAUCGUAAAACUCUGUUAUUAGGGAAGAACACAUGUGUAAGUAACUGUGCACAUCUUGACGGUACCUAAUCAGAAAGCCACGGCUAACUACGUG